rnacentral:rRNA from 1 species
UACGAAGGGGGCUAGCGUUGUUCGGAAUUACUGGGCGUAAAGGGCGCGUAGGCGGUGCCUCAAGUCAGGCGUGAAAGCCCCGGGCUCAACCUGGGAACUGCGUCUGAUACUGGAUGGCUUGAAUUCGGGAGAGGGAUGCAGAAUUCCAGGUGUAGCGGUGAAAUGCGUAGAUAUCUGGAGGAAUACCGGUGGCGAAGGCGGCAUCCUGGACCGACAUUGACGCUGAUGAGCGAAAGCUAGGGGAGCAAACGGG